UACGUAGGGCGCAAGCGUUAUCCGGAAUUAUUGGGCGUAAAGAGCUCGUAGGCGGUUUGUUGCGUCGGCUGUGAAAACCUGAGGCUCAACCUCGGGCCUGCAGUCGAUACGGGCAAACUAGAGUACUGCAGGGGAGACUGGAAUUCCUGGUGUAGCGGUGAAAUGCGCAGAUAUCAGGAGGAACACCGGUGGCGAAGGCGGGUCUCUGGGCAGUAACUGACGCUGAGGAGCGAAAGCGUGGGGAGCGAACAGG
rnacentral:rRNA from 1 species